AGAGUUUGAUCCUGGCUCAGAUCGAACGCUAGCGGCAUGCCUAACACAUGCAAGUCGAACGGUAACAGGACUAGCUUGCUAGUCGCUGACGAGUGGCGGACGGGUGAGUAAUACGUAGGAAUCUACCUUGUAGUGGGGGAUAACUCGGGGAAACUCGAGCUAAUACCGCAUACUCCCCGCAUCUAUCUUUAUGGUUUGUGAAGUCUGAAAUUGAGCCAGAAGACUGAGCAAAUCAUAAAGAUGGGUGUGGGGCAAAGCGGGGGACUUCGCAUUUAAAUUAUUUAUAUCAAGUGAUUUAAAUGCGAGGCCUCGUGCUAAAAGAUGAGCCUGCGUCGGAUUAGCUUGUUGGUGGGGUAAAGGCCUACCAAGGCGACGAUCCGUAGCUGGUCUGAGAGGAUGAUCAGCCACAUUGGGACUGAGAUACGGCCCAGACUCCUACGGGAGGCAGCAGUGGGGAAUAUUGGACAAUGGGCGCAAGCCUGAUCCAGCAAUGCCGCGUGUGUGAAGAAGGCCUUCGGGUUGUAAAGCACUUUCAGUGGGGAAGAAGGGUUCAAAGUUAAUAACUUUGAGCAUUGACAUUACCCACAGAAGAAGCACUGGCUAACUCUGUGCCAGCAGCCGCGGUAAUACAGAGAGUGCAAGCGUUAAUCGGAAUUAUUGGGCGUAAAGCGCGCGUAGGCGGAUGCUCCAGUUGGGUGUGAAAUCCCCGGGCUUAACCUGCGAAUUGCAUUCAAUACUAGGCAUCUAGAGUAUGGUAGAGGGAAGUGGAAUUUCCGGUGUAGCGGUGAAAUGCGUAGAUAUCGGAAGGAACACCAGUGGCGAAGGCGGCUUCCUGGACCAAUACUGACGCUGAGGUGCGAAAGCGUGGGGAGCAAACAGGAUUAGAGACCCUGGUAGUCCACGCCGUUAACGAUGAGAACUAGACGUUGGAGGGGUUGCCCUUUAGUGUCGUAGCUAACGCGUUAAGUUCUCCGCCUGGGGAGUACGACCGCAAGGUUAAAACUCAAAGGAAUUGACGGGGGCCCGCACAAGCGGUGGAUCAUGUGGUUUAAUUCGAUGCAACGCGAAGAACCUUACCUACUCUUGACAUCCUAGGAAGUCUCUAGAGAUAGAGAUGUGCCUUCGGGAACCUAGUGACAGGUGCUGCAUGGCUGUCGUCAGCUCGUGUCGUGAGAUGUUGGGUUAAGUCCCGUAACGAGCGCAACCCUUGCCCUUAGUUGCCAGCACGUAAUGGUGGGAACUCUAAGGGGACUGCCGGUGAUAAAUCGGAGGAAGGUGGGGACGAGGUCAAGUCAUCAUGGCCCUUACGAGUAGGGCUACACACGUGAUACAAUGGACAGUACAAAGGGUUGCUAAGCCGCGAGGUGGAGCUAAUCCCAAAAAGCUGUUCUUAGUCCGGAUUGAAGUCUGCAACUCGACUUCAUGAAGUUGGAAUCGCUAGUAAUCGUGAAUCAGAAUGUCGCGGUGAAUACGUUCUCGGGCCUUGUACACACCGCCCGUCACACCAUGGGAGUGGGUUGUACCAGAAGCGGGUAGGCUAACCUUCGGGGGGCCGCUCACCACGGUAUGAUUCAUGACUGGGGUGAAGUCGUAACAAGGUAACC
rnacentral:rRNA from 1 species